GCGCGCGUAGGCGGUUUCUUAAGUCUGAUGUGAAAGCCCACGGCUCAACCGUGGAGGGUCAUUGGAAACUGGGAAACUUGAGUGCAGAAGAGGAAAGUGGAAUUCCAUGUGUAGCGGUGAAAUGCGCAGAGAUAUGGAGGAACACCAGUGGCGAAGGCGACUUUCUGGUCUGUAACUGACGCUGAUGUGCGAAAGCGUGGGGAUCAAACAGGAUUAGAUACCCUGGUAGUCCACGCCGUAAACGAUGAGUGCUAAGUGUUAGGGGGUUUCCGCCCCUUAGUGCUGCAGCUAACGCAUUAAGCACUCCGCCUGGGGAGUACGACCGCAAGGUUGAAACUCA
rnacentral:rRNA from 1 species